rnacentral:rRNA from 1 species
AUUGAACGCUGGCGGCAUGCCUUACACAUGCAAGUCGAACGGUAACAGGUUAAGCUGACGAGUUGCGAACGGGUGAGUAAUGUAUCGGAACGUGCCCAGGCGUGGGGGAUAACUGCUCGAAAGAGCAGCUAAUACCGCAUACGACCUGAGGGUAAAAGCGGGGGAUGGCAAGACCUCGCGCGAUUGGAGCGGCCGAUAUCAGAUUAGGUAGUUGGUGUGGUAAAGGCUCACCAAGCCGACGAUCUGUAGCUGGUCUGAGAGGACGACCAGCCACACUGGGACUGAGACACGGCCCAGACUCCUACGGGAGGCAGCAGUGGGGAAUUUUGGACAAUGGGCGCAAGCCUGAUCCAGCCAUGCCGCGUGCGGGAAGAAGGCCUUCGGGUUGUAAACCGCUUUUGUCAGGGAAGAAAAGGUUCUGGCUAAUACCUGGGACUCAUGACGGUACCUGAAGAAUAAGCACCGGCUAACUACGUG